UCGACGAAACAGGGGUGCUUUGCUCGCAGGCUGCAUGAUUUCAUGCCGCGGCGGCAAGGCUGAGAGAGACCCUUUGCACCCGAUCCGGGUAAUACCGGCGCGGGAAGUUUCCGGAAGCAGCCA
rnacentral:ncRNA from 2 species